rnacentral:rRNA from 1 species
AUACGGAGGAUCCAAGCGUUAUCCGGAAUCAUUGGGUUUAAAGGGUCCGUAGGCGGGCAAUUAAGUCAGAGGUGAAAGUUUGCGGCUCAACCGUAAAAUUGCCUUUGAAACUGGUUGUCUUGAAUUAUUAUGAAGUGGUUAGAAUAAGUAGUGUAGCGGUGAAAUGCAUAGAUAUUACUUAGAAUACCAAUUGCGAAGGCAGAUCACUAAUAAUAUAUUGACGCUGAUGGACGAAAGCGUGGGGAGCGAACAGGAUUAGAAACCCUUGUAGUCC